GAGGGUAUAGCUCAAGUGGUAGCUCAUGGUUAGCAUGCAUGAGGUCCUGGGUUCAAUCCCCAGUACCUCCU
rnacentral:tRNA from 1 species